rnacentral:rRNA from 1 species
GAUGAACGCUAGCGGCAGGCUUAACACAUGCAAGUCGAACGGCAGCACAGGUAGCAAUACUGGGUGGCGAGUGGCGCACGGGUGCGUAACGCGUAUGCAACCUACCUCUAUCUGGGAGAUAGCCCGAAGAAAUUCGGAUUAAUACCCCAUAAUAUAUGUCUUUCGCAUGUUAGACAUAUUAAAGCUUUGGCGGAUAGAGAUGGGCAUGCGUGACAUUAGCUAGUUGGUAAGGUAACGGCUUACCAAGGCUACGAUGUCUAGGGGGUCUGAGAGGAUUAUCCCCCACACUGGUACUGAGACACGGACCAGACUCCUACGGGAGGCAGCAGUGAGGAAUAUUGGACAAUGGGCGAAAGCCUGAUCCAGCCAUGCCGCGUGCAGGAAGACGGCCCUAUGGGUUGUAAACUGCUUUUAUAUGGGAAUAAACCUCCGAACGUGUUCGGAGCUAGAAGGUACCAUACGAAUAAGGAUCGGCUAACUCCGU